rnacentral:rRNA from 1 species
AGUGGGGAAUAUUGGACAAUGGGCGAAAGCCUGAUCCAGCAAUGCCGCGUGUGUGAAGAAGGCCUGCGGGUUGUAAGGCACUUUUGUCAGGGAAGAAACGGCCUGGGUUAAUACCCCAUGGCAAUUGACGGUACCUGAAGAAUAAGCAUCGGCUAACUCCGUGCCAGCAGCCGCGGUAAUACGGAGGGUGCAAGCGUUAAUCGGAAUUACUGGGCGUAAAGCGUGCGCAGGCGGCUGAUUAAGUCGGAUGUGAAAGCCCCGGGCUUAACCUGGGAAUGGCAUUCGAUACUGGUCAGCUAGAGUCUGGUAGAGGUAAGCGGAAUUCCGGGUGUAGCGGUGAAAUGCGUAGAUAUCCGGAGGAACAUCAGUGGCGAAGGCGGCUUACUGGACCAAGACUGACGCUCAGGCACGAAAGCGUGGGUAGCAAACAGGAUUAGAUACCCUGGUAGUCCACGCCCUAAACGAUGUCAACUAGCCGUUGGGUCCCCUUAAUAGGACUUAGUGGCGAAGCUAACGCGUUAAGUUGACCGCCUGGGGAGUACGGCCGCAAGGUUG